ACUGUUCGUCUUUCAUAGCACGAUCUCAUUCUUAUUCUCUUCUCCCUGCUCUAUAACGCGUCUCUGAAUUGCACUGGAUUUAAAUCGUAGAGGUAAAUCAAAUGGUCUUUAUGUUCAGUUGAUUUCAAGAGUUCAGUUAGUUCGGUACAGAUUGGGUAACCUGGAGUUUUUAAAUCCGCUGAUUUGAAGAAGAUUUCUCACCGAAAAACAUUCAACCAAAACAACAAAGAUGCUCAAGAUUUCUCUUAAGACCCAAGUUGAUGUAAUCGUAUAUCUGUUGUUAAGUUUCUUAUUUUGAUUCAUUGGUUUGGUAAGAGAAGAUGAAGGGAAAAAAGAAGAGCUAUCCAACUCACAUCAAUUUCCAUUAUGAAUAAUCCUCUUAACCAAACCUGGAGCGCAGUUUCUUAUACAACUAAACCCUCAUAAGUGUUUUAAACUUCAAGAGGGUCACUCGAUUGGUUUUCAACAACCCAAGCAAAUGGCGGAUACAAAGAAUGGAAAUGGAUAUGGCAGAAAAGAAAAGAAACAAAUGACUCGUAAGGAAAUCGACACGGAACGUAGAGGUCAAAGAAGGAUGGCGAAGAGGCAAGAGAGGAGAAGAGCAACGAUGGACCAGAAAACAGAGGACGAGCCUAAACAUCGAAAGAUAUCUGAGUAUUGAGGUGGAAUAAAAGUAUUGGCUGGAAAAGAAAUGGAGGAAGACGAAAAUAAGGCGCAAGACGGGAUGUCUGUGAAAACAUAAGAGGACAAAUUUCAUAAAAUGAAAGGCAAAAAGUCCAGAUAAAAUAGAAAGAAGACAUGGCAGAAUGUUGAAUAAGUGCCGGGCUGGUGGAAGUCAGUCCGCAACGAAAGAAGAAUAUGCAGAACAUGGGGAUAGUAGUCGAUGAUGGGUUCAGAGUUUAUGGAUCAGUAUAACAUUGUAACUAUUAUCUUGGCUUUUUCUUUUUUUUUUUAUAUAUAUACAAAUAUU